rnacentral:rRNA from 1 species
GAAGUAAAAGUCGUAACAAGGUCUCCGUUGGUGAACCAGCGGAGGGAUCAUUACCGAGUUUACAACUCCCAAACCCAAUGUGAACGUUACCAAACUGUUGCCUCGGCGGGAUCUCUGCCCCGGGUGCGUCGCAGCCCCGGACCAAGGCGCCCGCCGGAGGACCAACCUAAAACUCUUAUUGUAUACCCCCUCGCGGGUUUUUUUAUAAUCUGAGCCUUCUCGGCGCCUCUCGUAGGCGUUUCGAAAAUGAAUCAAAACUUUCAACAACGGAUCUCUUGGUUCUGGCAUCGAUGAAGAACGCAGCGAAAUGCGAUAAGUAAUGUGAAUUGCAGAAUUCAGUGAAUCAUCGAAUCUUUGAACGCACAUUGCGCCCGCCAGUAUUCUGGCGGGCAUGCCUGUCCGAGCGUCAUUUCAACCCUCGAACCCCUCCGGGGGGUCGGCGUUGGGGAUCGGCCCUCCCUUAGCGGGUGGCCGUCUCCGAAAUACAGUGGCGGUCUCGCCGCAGCCUCUCCUGCGCAGUAGUUUGCACACUCGCAUCGGGAGCGCGGCGCGUCCACAGCCGUUAAACACCCAACUUCUGAAAUGUUGACCUCGGAUCAGGUAGGAAUACCCGCUGAACUUAAGCAUAUCAAUAAGCGGAG